UUAUUUUGUAUAUGAAGCCGGUGAAGAUAUCAUCUCUAAUUGUUCUUGUUUUUAUUUGGUUUAUUUUGUUCUAUUGUGAUUAUUUAUUUUGUUUAUGAAGCUUCUGAAGACAAUUAUUUUGUCCCUACUGUGAAUUGUUAUAAUGGUGGUGUGGGUGCUGAUGAUUAAAUGACUUUUAAAGACUCUAAAAGAGAUAUUCAGCACCAAGUGUACA
rnacentral:lncRNA from 1 species